UGUUGUUAUCAAGAUAUAUGAUCAUGUUUUGUUUGCUUUUCACAAAUCUAAAUAUAUGGUCAUGUGUUGUUAGUGGUUCACAAAUCAAGAUAUAUGAUCAUGUGUUGUUUGCUGUUCACAAAUCUAGAUAUAUGAUCAAGUGUUGUUUGCUGUUCACAAAUCAAGAUUUGCUAUGAUCAUGUGCUGUUUGUGGUGCACAAAUCAAGAUAUUUGAUCAUGUGUUGUUUGCUGUUCACAAACAGAUUGUUGUUGUGGUUCACAAAUCAAGAUAUAUAUAUCAUGUGUUUGUUUGCUGGUCACAAAUCUAGAUAAUGAUCAGUUGUUUUGCUGUUCAUAAAUCAAGAUAUGUUAUGUUCAUGUGUUGUUUGCUGUUCACAAAUCAAGAUAUGUUAUGAUCAUGUGUUGUUAGGUGUGUCACAACAAUCAAGAGUAUAUGAUCAUGUGUUGUUUGGCUGUUCACAAAUCUCAGAUAUGUUAUAUGUUCAUGUGUUGUUUUGCUGUUCACAAAUCAAGAUAUGUCAUGAUCAUGUGUUGUUAGUGGUUCACAAAUCAAGAUAUAUGAUCAUGUGUUGUUUACUGUUCACAAAUCAAGAUAUGUUAUGAUCACGUGUUGUUUGCUGUUCACUAAACCAACAGAUAUGAUCUUGUGUAGUUUAUUGUUCACAAAUCAAGAUAUGUUAUGAUCAUGUGUUGUUUGCUGUUCACAAAUCUAGAUAUAUGAUCAUGUGUUAUUUGCUGUUCACAAAUCAAGAUAUAUGAUCAAGUGUUGUUUGCUGUUCAUGCAUCAAGAUACAUGAUCAUGUGUUGUUUGUCAUUCACAAAUCAAGAUUUGUUAGGAUCAUGUGUUGUUUGUGGUUCACAAAUCAAGAUAUAUGAUCAUGUGUUGUUUGCUGUUCACUAAAUUAACAGAUAUGAUCAUGUGUUGUUUGCUGUUCACAAAUCAAGAUAUAUGAUCAUGUGUUGUUUGUUGUUCACAUAUCAAGAUAUGUUAUGAUCAUGUGUUGUUUGCUGUUCACAAAUAAGAUAUGUUAGGAUCAUGUGUUGUUUGCUGUUCACAAACCAAGAUAUGUUAUGAUCAUGUGUUGUUUGCUGUUCACAAAUCAAGAUAUGUUAUGAUCAUGUGUUGUUUGUGGUUCACAAAUCAAGAUAUAUAAUCAUGUGUCGUUUGCUGUUUAUGAAUCAAGAUAUAUGAUCAUGUGUUAAUUGUUGUUAUCUGUCUGUGUUUCCCAGGAGUUGGUGUUGGAAGUUGAUGUUUGUUGUAUUUUUGGUAAUUUCUCUUUUAUGUUAUUAUAAAAAUAAGAAGAUCUGGUAUGAUUACCAAUGAGACCACCUUCCACAAGAGACCAAGUGUCACAGAAAUUAGCAACUGAAAGUCACCUUACAGCCUUCAACAAUGAACUAUAAAAGGCCCCAAAAUAAUAGUUGAUUGUGGUGGAACCUAAACCUAAAAUAUAAUUUUCAUUUAAUCCACAACAAUUAGUUAUUCCUUG
rnacentral:lncRNA from 1 species